rnacentral:rRNA from 1 species
AUUGAACGCUGGCGGCAGGCUUAACACAUGCAAGUCGAACGAGUGGCGGACGGGUGAGUAAUGUCUGGGAAACUGCCUGAUGGAGGGGGAUAACUACUGGAAACGGUAGCUAAUACCGCAUACCAUCAGAUGUGCCCAGAUGGGAUUAGCUAGUAGGUGGGGUAAUGGCUCACCUAGGCGACGAUCCCUAGCUGGUCUGAGAGGAUGACCAGCCACACUGGAACUGAGACACGGUCCAGACUCCUACGGGAGGCAGCAGUGGGGAAUAUUGCACAAUGGGCGCAAGCCUGAUGCAGCCAUGCCGCGUGUGUGAAGAAGGCCUUCGGGUUGUAAAGCACUUUCAGCGAGGAGGCGUUACCGACAGAAGAAGCACCGGCUAACUCCGUGCCAGCAGCCGCGGUAAUUC